rnacentral:SRP_RNA from 1 species
GCCAGGCGUGGUGGUGUGCACCUGUAAUCCCAGCUACUUGGGAGGCUGAGGCAGGAGAAUCCCUUGAACCUGGGAGGUGGAGUUUGCAGUGAGCUGAGAUGGCGCUACUGCACUCCAGCCUGGGUGACAGAGCGAGACUCUGUCUCAAAAAAAAAAAAAAGUGUAAUAAAAUACACAUAGCAUAAAUGUAUCAUUUUAACCCCGUCUCCCAGGCUGGAGUGCAGUGGUGCGAUCUCAGCCCAGUGCAAUCUCCACCUCCCAGGUUCAAGGGAUUCUCCUGCCUCA